UACGUAGGGUGCAAGCGUUGUCCGGAAUUAUUGGGCGUAAAGGGCGCGUAGGCGGGCGUUAAAGUCAGGGGUGAAAUCCCCCAGCUCAACUGGGGAACUGCCUUUGAUACUGAAUGUCUCGAGUAAGGUAGGGGCAUGCGGAACUGAUGGUGGAGCGGUGAAAUGUGUUGAUAUCAUCAGGAACACCGGUGGCGAAGGCGGCUUCCUGGACCGACACUGACGCUGAGGCGCGAAAGCUAGGGGAGCAAACGGG
rnacentral:rRNA from 1 species